UACUAUGAACCCUGGAAUUGUUCAGAAGAAUUGUCCCAGAACUUUGCUUAGUUCAUUUUCUUCUCAGGUCUUAUUAAAAAAACUCAGGAAACUCUCAGCUCUAAUGAGUGUUUCUGCAGCACAAAUUUCAAACUGAAGGAAUUAUCUGAGUCCUGUGCAUCAUUCUUCAAUGAAAGAAACAUCCGGCACUUUCCCUGCAGAAGAAUGAACAUAAGAGAAUUUUUUUGAUAAUUCAAGAGACAAACUGGAGUGAAGGCUCCACCCGAGAAUGAAUGUUUAAUGGCAUGUCUCUGGAAUGAAGAUAGAAGAGAAUAAGCAGCAGGUGUGAGAAGAGCAAAGGAAUAAAUUUAAGUGGUUAUUUCUCA